AACGAACGCUGGCGGCAUGCCUAACACAUGCAAGUCGAACGAGACCUUCGGGUCUAGUGGCGCACGGGUGCGUAACGCGUGGGAACCUGCCCUUAGGUUCGGAAUAACUCCCCGAAAGGGGUGCUAAUACCGGAUAAUGUCUUCGGACCAAAGAUUUAUCGCCUUUGGAUGGGCCCGCGUUGGAUUAGCUAGUUGGUAGGGUAAAAGCCUACCAAGGCGACGAUCCAUAGCUGGUCUGAGAGGAUGAUCAGCCACACUGGGACUGAGACACGGCCCAGACUCCUACGGGAGGAGGCAGGGGGGAAUAUUGGAAAAGGGGCAAAAGCCUGACCAAGCAAGGCCGGGUGAGUGAUGAAGGCCUUAGGGUUGUAAAGCUUUUUUACCCGGGAUGAUAAUGACAGUCCCGGGAAAAUAAGCCCCGGCUAACCCCGUG
rnacentral:rRNA from 1 species